rnacentral:rRNA from 1 species
UACGUAGGGUGCGAGCGUUAAUCGGAAUUACUGGGCGUAAAGCGUGCGCAGGCGGUUGUGCAAGGCAGGUGUGAAAUCCCCGGGCUUAACCUGGGAACUGCACUUGUGACUGCACAGCUGGAGUACGGCAGAGGGGGAUGGAAUUCCGCGUGUAGCAGUGAAAUGCGUAGAUAUGCGGAGGAACACCGAUGGCGAAGGCAGUCCCCUGGGCCUGUACUGACGCUCAUGCACGAAAGCGUGGGGAGCAAACAGG